rnacentral:rRNA from 1 species
GAUGAACGCUGGCGGCGUGUCUAAUACAUGCCAGUCGAGCGAACGGACGAGAAGCUUGCUUUUCUGAUGUUAGCGGCGGACGGGUGAGUAACACGUGGAUAACCUACCUAUAAGACUGGGAUAACUUCGGGAAACCGGAGCUAAUACCGGAUAAUAUUUUGAACCGCAUGGUUCAAAAGUGAAAGACGGUCUUGCUGUCACUUAUAGAUGGAUCCGCGCUGCAUUAGCUAGUUGGUAAGGUAACGGCUUACCAAGGCAACGAUGCAUAGCCGACCUGAGAGGGUGAUCGGCCACACUGGAACUGAGACACGGUCCAGACUCCUACGGGAGGCAGCAGUAGGGAAUCUUCCGCAAUGGGCGAAAGCCUGACGGAGCAACGCCGCGUGAGUGAUGAAGGUCUUCGGAUCGUAAAACCCUGUUAUUAGGGAAGAACAUAUGUGUAAGUAACUGUGCACAUCUUGACGGUACCUAAUCAGAAAGCCACGGCUAACUACGUG